rnacentral:rRNA from 1 species
UACGUAGGGUGCGAGCGUUAAUCGGAAUUACUGGGCGUAAAGCGUGCGCAGGCGGUUCGCUAAGACCGAUGUGAAAUCCCCGGGCUUAACCUGGGAACUGCAUUGGUGACUGGCGGGCUAGAGUAUGGCAGAGGGGGGUAGAAUUCCACGUGUAGCAGUGAAAUGCGUAGAGAUGGGGAGGAAUACCGAUGGCGAAGGCAGCCCCCUGGGCCAAUACUGACGCUCAUGCACGAAAGCGUGGGGAGCAAACAGG